rnacentral:Y_RNA from 1 species
GGCUGGUCCCAGUGCAGUGGUGUUUAUAAUUUAUCAGUCAUAGCCAGUUACAGAUUUAUUUAUUCUUUCUCCACUCCCACUGCUUCACUUGACUACCCUUAC